rnacentral:lncRNA from 1 species
UAAAGGACAGGGGUAGUAAACGGAAUACAGGGCAACGAUAGGGAACCUUAGAGGGGUAGAGUUAGGGGACCGACCCCAGGCCUGGGAUCCGGAACCUUCUCUGGGGUAGAGUUAGGGGGCCGACCCCAGGGCUGGGAUCGGGAACCUUCUCUGGGGUAGAGUUAGGGGGCCGACCCCAGGGCUGGGAUCGGAACCUUCUCUGGGGUAGAGUUAGGGGGCCGACCCCAGGGCUGGGAUCGGAACCUUCUCUGGGGUAGAGUUAGGGGGCCGGCCCCAGGGCUGGGGAUCGGGAACCUUCUCUGGGUUUCAGGGAGAAGAAGCCACGUUCACGUCAGAGCAGGCUGGAAUCUUGGAUCCUCCACCUGUUUGUGCCGCUGGCGAGUUACUUAACAACAGACCUGGAACACUGUACAACAUGAGAAAACAGAGGCCAGCAAGGUCCACUGAUAGGCCCACGCUGGAGGCACAGGUAUUCUGAUGUCAGACGUGGGCCACACAGGGGAAGGCUUUAUACACUGGAACACCGGAGGUAGAGAUUCUGCAAUUAUUGACAAUACACAAAUUGGCAUAAGUAAGCUAAGAGUACAAAGGCUGCAACAGAUAUAUGCAAAUAAUGAUUUCAAAGUUGUUUUCCUGCCAUAUUUGAAUAGUAGAGAUGAUCACGUUCUAGCUAAUAAUAUACUGCCAUUAUGUAGGUUGCAACUAACUCUCACUUUCAAGAAACAGCAUACUGGAUGUAUCAUUGCAGGCUACCAUCUAUCUAGCUGUAUAUACUGUGACGCCAUAGCUAUAUAA